UACGUAGGGUGCAAGCGUUAAUCGGAAUUACUGGGCGUAAAGCGUGCGCAGGCGGUUGUGCAAGACCGAUGUGAAAUCCCCCGGGCUUAACCUGGGAACUGCCUUUGUGACUGCAUAGCUAGAGUACGGUAGGGGGGGGAUGGAAUUCCGCGUGUAGCAGUGAAAUGCGUAGAUAUGCGGAGGGAACACCGAUGGCGAAGGCAAUCCCCUGGACCCUGUACUGACGCUCAUGCACGAAAGCGUGGGGAGCAAACAGG
rnacentral:rRNA from 1 species